rnacentral:piRNA from 1 species
UGUGUAUGAGGAUAACAUGCCAAGCAAGGGA